GACGAACGCCGGCGGCGUGCCUAAUACAUGCAAGUAGAACGCUGAAGGAGGAGCUUGCUUCUCCGGAUGAGUUGCGAACGGGUGAGUAACGCGUAGGUAACCUGCCUGGUAGCGGGGGAUAACUAUUGGAAACGAUAGCUAAUACCGCAUAAGAGUAGAUGUUGCAUGACAUUUACUUAAAAGGUGCAAUUGCAUCACUACCAGAUGGACCUGCGUUGUAUUAGCUAGUUGGUGGGGUAACGGCUCACCAAGGCGACGAUACAUAGCCGACCUGAGAGGGUGAUCGGCCACACUGGGACUGAGACACGGCCCAGACUCCUACGGGAGGCAGCAGUAGGGAAUCUUCGGCAAUGGACGGAAGUCUGACCGAGCAACGCCGCGUGAGUGAAGAAGGUUUUCGGAUCGUAAAGCUCUGUUGUAAGAGAAGAACGAGUGUGAGAGUGGAAAGUUCACACUGUGACGGUAUCUUACCAGAAAGGGACGGCUAACUACGUGCCAGCAGCCGCGGUAAUACGUAGGUCCCGAGCGUUGUCCGGAUUUAUUGGGCGUAAAGCGAGCGCAGGCGGUUAGAUAAGUCUGAAGUUAAAGGCUGUGGCUUAACCAUAGUACGCUUUGGAAACUGUUUAACUUGAGUGCAAGAGGGGAGAGUGGAAUUCCAUGUGUAGCGGUGAAAUGCGUAGAUAUAUGGAGGAACACCGGUGGCGAAAGCGGCUCUCUGGCUUGUAACUGACGCUGAGGCUCGAAAGCGUGGGGAGCAAACAGG
rnacentral:rRNA from 1 species